CCCCAGGCCGGAGGUCCGCGCCCGGCAGAAGGCAAACGGCAUCUUCCAUCCCAGCCCCAUCCUCCUCGCCCUGCUGUUGCUGCAGCUCGUCCGAUUUGCACCUCUUCAUGGUCUCGUGACAGAGAAAGGGGUGGCAAGGAGUGUGGAGCGCACAGUGAGCCCACCCUGACCCUUGAUCACGAACUGACUCCGAGAUGAAGAAAAGCAGAUGGGGUUCUUCAGGAAUCCUUCAAGAGUGGGACUGGCGAGAUGACUCAGCAGUUUCAGCACUGACUGCUCCUCCAGAGAACCCCGGUUCCAUUCUCUGCACUCAAAUAACAGCUAACAGCGGUCUGCAACUCCGGUCCCAAGGGAUCCAACACUUUCUCUGGCCACCCUCUUCUAGCCUGCCUGGGCAGACAGGCACAUUCAUGGUGCACAGGCAUAAAUGCAGGCAAAACACUCAUACAUAUAAAAAUAAA